rnacentral:lncRNA from 1 species
GUAGAUUACUAUUCCAGAAAUACAUGAACAUAACAUAGUUGUCACAAGAAAACUUUAUAUCCAGGAAGAACAUAAAGAAAACUAGCGGCUCAUCAUUUGGUUGAUCAUCAUUACAUUACUUCAACUCUGUUAUUCAUACGAAUCAAAGAUGCAAAAGUAGCAAUAAACAAACCCAAGACAAUGUUUUGAAACCUAAUUUUCGCCUCUAACAAGUUAUGAAACGAAAGUAGUGAAAAGGAUAAUCAAAAGUCUCGAAAAAGUAUAAUCAAAAGUCUCCACCAAACUUCAUUUUAAAGGAAAUGGAACAUUUGACGUCUGGCCUCCACCGUAAGCUACGGUGGCUACCGUAGCUUACGGUGGCCACAAAAAUGCUACGGUGGGGAUCUACUGGUCUACAUGUCCUCUACGGUGUUCAAACCUACCAUAGCUUAGGGUGGGCACUGUAAGCUACGAUAGAGCCCAGCUUUUUCCCACUUUGUUUUCUUCAAUAACUUCAUCUCUCCAAUCCAAAUGCGCAUUUCACUAAUCUUCCUUCUAUCGUCUUUUGCGCCUUCUUGUACCUCACAUGACAGACAUACCGUAGUCAUCCAACUCCUUAAAAAUAAACGCUUAAACGUAUAGUUUUUCAUUGUAAUUAUCAUUAAUAAGGGUUGUCCUACAGUCCGCCCGUCAGUAUCAAAUCGUACCGGGUCAUUUUCAUUACCCACUUUUUACAAUUUUCAGGUUUCAAUAUUUUCCAUCCGUUACGGGUAUUUUGGGUUGAUCUACCCUUGAAUACCGUACCAUAGCAGUAUCGCUCAUCCCUUCAUCCAAUGCAAAAAGACAGUUAAUGGUUACGAAAAUCUAAAAACUAAUACCACUAUACAGUGUAGCUUUAGCCCAUAAAAAGAAACCGACUCAUAAUCACCCUACGAAUUGGCGUUACAACUUGGAAAUUUGAUGAUUACGGGUUCUAAUCAACUUUCAUGUGAUCUGAAUCAAUUGUUUCAAAGGCAACAGAUUCACUUAUUCCUUAUCUUUCAGAUCAUAAAAACUAAUAAAUGAAAAAAUUAACACCAAGCAAGCAGGUAGAUCCAGCUACACAAAUUUCACACUGAUCUAUCUAUAUUGUAUAAAAUAAUGUUCCAAUCAACAACUUAGGUAUGAAUUUUGACCUAAAUAAACGAGAUCUGGAGA